GCUAUGGUAGUUUAUUAAAAACACCAGCCCGUGGCGCUGUAAACGGGAACCACCCCCCCCCAUAGCC
rnacentral:tRNA from 1 species